GACGUCGCCCUCCUCCCUAUGGACGUGGCCGACUCUCCGGACGUCACCUCUUGGCGUCUGGAACCCUCCGGCUGCAUCUCCACCAAAUCCCUCUACGCGGCUAUAGCCCCAUCGACGGCCCCAGAGCCCUUCAGUUUGAUUUGGGACAUCCGCCUCCCCUUAAAGAUCCGGAUCUUUCUUUGGCAAUGGAUCCGUGGCCGCCUUCCGUCCGGCGUUGAGGUCCUUAAGCGCCAUGGCCCUGGAGAUGGGAUGUGCCCUAUGUGUGGCACGGUAGAGGAUGCCAACCACAUCUUCUUCUCAUGCUACACGGCACAGUUCCUUUGGUCUACACGCUGUGGACGAUUCACAAUAAGCUUGUCAUUCAGAAGGUGCCUCUUCGGCGUGCUACUGACUCCAUCCUUAAAAUGUGUGGUUACUUGCAGCUCUGGCGGCCGCUUAGCCGCCCUCAGGACCGAGACGCCAUCAGCACCCUCCUCGCCGACCUUCGAUCGAUGGCCUUCCGCUUGGCGCCUCCGCUCCCGCCGCCACCCCCGGAGCCCGACUAGAUGCAGUGUCUCUCCUGGCUCCUGGCGCGUGUGCCUUUUUGUGUGUUUUUUAGGGCUUGUUGAGUUGUGCCCUCAGCAUUAA
rnacentral:rRNA from 1 species